ensembl:lncRNA
CCGAGAUUGGGCAUAGUUCCCUGUGCUAUACAGUAGGACCUUGUUUACCCCUUCUGAACGUAGUCGUGUGGAUCCACCCCGGCCAUCCCUCGCCCUCCCUCUUGGCAGCCACAAGCCUGAUCUCUGUGUGCAAAUGUAUUUGGGGAGCUGAUUUUAGGGAUCUCUCUUUAACACCAAAAGUUUUCACAGAUCCCCAUGAAGAAGACUUGAUAUUACCAAAGACGUCCUGAAUUCAGGAAUAGUUUAAGGCCGCCAGGCUUCUCUGUCCAUGGAAUUCUCCAGGCAGGAAUACUGGAGUGGAUAGCUAUUCCCUUCUCCAGAGGAUCUUCCAGACCAAGGGAUUGGACCUGCGUCUCCUGUGUCUCCUGCAUUGCUGGAAUAGUCCCCAAAAGAAAAACUCCUCUUCAGUGGCAUCAUGGAGGCAGACAGAUGCUUGACUUUUCCCUUUACUAACAAGUUUUCAAAAUAACCAAGUGACGCUCUGGCAUCGUCCACAGCUGCAUCUUGCCAUCUGUCCCUUGCCCUCCAUUCUCUGAGGAUCUCUUUGUGAUCAUCCUCCCUGGAUUCCUUCUUGAGGACCAGCCUCUUGGGCUUUGAGGCCCCUCUUUCUGCACCAGCUUCAUCAAGGUUGACUCACUGCCAUCUGCAUAUUUAAACAAAACUGCUGCCCCCCACCCCAGCCCCGCAGACAGUCAUGUUGUAAGCUUGGGACUUUCUCCCUGCUCAUCCAAACCUUACCUGUACUUUUAGGUGCACUGUGCAGGAAGCCUUGUUAGAAGAGUCCAGCCCUCUCCCUCUCUUAGUCCUGGAGCAUUGUCAGGAAUCUCAUACCCCUGAACAGACUACAAGCUGCUGGAGGGCAGGCUUCAGUCAGAAUGUUCCUGCUGCCUUGGCGCAGGGCCAGCACACAUCAGAUGCUCAGUUAAUGUCUGUGGAGUCAGUGCACGGUGGCAUUCCCAAAGACUUACCUCCAGCUGCACCUCUCCCGCUCACUUGCCAUAACCCUCCCUGCACAACCUCCAGCUCCCACCAACCAGGGGCAAGAGGGAAAACAAAACAGGUGUAAAAAAAAAAAAAAAAAAAGGCGGAGCGCACUGAAAUAUAAGAAGCCACUUCUAGGAUCG